AAUCAACGCUGGCGGCGUGCCUCAGACAUGCAAGUCGAACGCGAAAGGUUCCUUCGGGAACCGAGUAGAGUGGCGCACGGGUGAGUAACACGUAGGUAAUUUGCCUUUGGGUGGGGAAUAACAGCCGGAAACGGCUGCUAAUACCGCAUAAUGCAGCGGCUCGACAUCGAGACAGUUGUUAAAGCGGGGGAUCGCAAGACCUCGCGCCUAAAGAGAAGCCUGCGGCAGAUUAGCUAGUUGGUAGGGUAAUGGCCUACCAAGGCGACGAUCUGUAACCGGCCUGAGAGGGCGGUCGGUCACACUGACACUGACAUACGGGUCAGACUCCUACGGGAGGCAGCAGUCGGGAAUUUUGGGCAAUGGGCGAAAGCCUGACCCAGCAACGCCGCGUGAAGGAUGAAAUCCCUCGGGAUGUAAACUUCGCAAGAAU
rnacentral:rRNA from 1 species